rnacentral:rRNA from 1 species
GGUAGUCCACGCCGUAAACGAUGAUAACUCGAUGUUGGCGAUAGACAGCCAGCGUCCCAGCGAAAGCGUUAAGUUAUCCACCUGGGGAGUACGCCCGCAAGGGUGAAACUCAAAGGAAUUGACGGGGGCCCGCACAAGCGGAGGAGCAUGUGGUUUAAUUCGAUGAUACGCGAGGAACCUUACCCGGGCUUGAAAGUUAGUGAAGGGUGCAGAGACGCACCCGUCCUUCGGGACACGAAACUAGGUGCUGCAUGGCUGUCGUCAGCUCGUGCCGUGAGGUGUUGGGUUAAGUCCCGCAACGAGCGCAACCCUCGACCUUAGUUGCCAUCAUUUAGUUGGGCACUUUAAGGUAACCGCCGGUGAUAAGCCGGAGGAAGGUGGGGAUGACGUCAAGUCCUCAUGGCCCUUACGCGCUGGGCUACACACGUGCUACAAUGGCGGUGACAGUGGGCAGCAAGCACGCGAGUGUGAGCUAAUCUCCAAAAGCCGUCUCAGUUCGGAUUGUUCUCUGCAACUCGAGAGCAUGAAGGCGGAAUCGCUAGUAAUCGCGGAUCAGCAUGCCGCGGUGAAUACGUUCCCAGGCCUUGUACACACCGCCCGUCACACCAUGGGAGUUGGAUUCACCCGAAGGCGUUGCGCUAACUCGCAAGAGAGGCAGGCGACCACGGUGGGUUUAGCGACUGGGGUGAAGUCGUAACAAGGUAACC